rnacentral:rRNA from 1 species
UACGUAGGGGGCAAGCGUUGUCCGGAUUUAUUGGGCGUAAAGAGCGUGUAGGCGGCUUGACAGGUCUGCUGUGAAAACUCGAGGCUCAACCUCGAGAUGUCGGCGGAAACCGUCUGGCUAGAGUCCGGAAGAGGAGAGUGGAAUUCCUGGUGUAGCGGUGAAAUGCGCAGAUAUCAGGAAGAACACCUAUGGCGAAGGCAGCUCUCUGGGACGGUACUGACGCUGAGGCGCGAAAGCGUGGGGAGCGAACAGG